GCCGAAAUAGCUCAGUUGGGAGAGCGUUAGACUGAAGAUCUAAAGGGGACCUUUAGAUCUUCAGUCAGUUUGGUUCGAUCCCGGGUUUCGGCA